rnacentral:misc_RNA from 1 species
UUUUUUUAAAGAAUAAGAAAGGAAAUGUUAUUGAGGAACAAAAAUGUUAUUGAGGAAAAAACUUACGGAAUAAGAUAUCUGAAAUUCUGCAUAGACCAUAAAGAUGAUUCCAAAUACCCCUAGCCACCUCACCAUGUAAAAACAAGAGAGAAUGAAACUCCUAAUGCCUACAACAUACAAUGCACCAACCUGCAGACACAUGUUGGGGAAUUUUCCAAUUUUAAGUCUUUUCAAUCAUGUUCUGAUUAACGUUGUUAUUUCAAUAUUUUCAAGGAAUAGAAUUUAACUUUCUUAGAGUUUGAGUGAAGUUUCUUAGAGGAUGAUAUAAUUCUGAUAGAUGA